UCACACGCCGAGUGGAUCGGCCUGUGGCUGGCGCAGCUGGCGAGCUUCGUCACGCAGCCACAGGCGGCGCCAGUGUUCGCCGCCAUCAAGCCUAUUGCCUGUCGCGACCUCUCGCUGGCCACGUUCCUGCUGCCAUACGUGUUUAUAAACGCGAUCAUAGAUGGCGGUGGUGCAGCGCUGCGCGCGGCCCUGACCGAGAUCGAGGCUGUGCUCAAGGACAACAGGUCAACGCCCGGGGAGGGGCCCGGGACGGAGGUGCACCGGCUGUGCUGCCGCGCCGUGUUCGCCG